GCCCUACGGGACGCAGCAGUGAGGAAUAUUGGUCAAUGGGCGGAAGCCUGAACCAGCCAAGUCGCGUGAGGGAAUAAGGCCCUACGGGUCGUAAACCUCUUUUGCCGGGGAGCAAGGGCGGGGACGUGUCCCGGCCCGGAGAGUACCCGGAGAAAAAGCAUCGGCUAACUCCGUGCCAGCAGCCGCGGUAAUACGGAGGAUGCGAGCGUUAUCCGGAUUUAUUGGGUUUAAAGGGUGCGUAGGCGGCGCUUCAGGUCAGCGGUGAAAUACCGGGGCUCAACCCCGGGGCUGCCGUUGAAACCGGG
rnacentral:rRNA from 1 species